GCUGAAAGGUAAAGAUUAGGAACCUUGAUGGAGGUUGAAUUUGAGUUUCUCUUGGGACUGAAUGUGCUUGGGGUUUCCUGUCUGUCUUUGCAAAUAGAAGAGUUGAUUUUUUGGGAAAUAAUCUGUUGAUCUCUUAACCUUAGAAAGUAUUCCCGGCGUGAGCCACCACGUCCGGCCAGAAUGAUCCGUUAUUUCCAGCAAGGAAUAGCCUGAGAAGCACGGCAGGCCUUGAGUGGCGUUAGAGAGAAGUGCUGACAUCUUGAGUGAUGGAGAGGGUGGCCCUCUGGGCAGGGUGUGUCCCACAGGG
ensembl:lncRNA novel transcript, intronic to CLCN7